CGUGAGUGAUGAAGGCUUUCGGGUCGUAAAGCUCUGUCAAGUGGGAAGAACAUGCUUGAUGCUAAUACCAUCUUGCACUGACGGUACCACUGAAGGAAGCACCGGCUAACUCCGUGCCAGCAGCCGCGGUAAUACGGGGGGUGCAAGCGUUAUUCGGAAUUAUUGGGCGUAAAGGGCGCGUAGGCGGUCUCUUAAGUCAGAUGUGAAAGCCCGGGGCUUAACCCCGGAAGUGCAUUUGAAACUAAGGGACUUGAGUAUGGGAGAGGGAAGUGGAAUUCCUGGUGUAGAGGUGAAAUUCGUAGAUAUCAGGAGGAACACCGGUGGCGAAGGCGACUUCCUGGACCAAUACUGACGCUAAGGCGCGAAGGCGUGGGGAGCAAACAGGAUUAGAUACCCUGGUAGUCCACGCAGUAAACGGUGAGCACUAGGUGUAGCGGGUAUUGACCCCUGCUGUGCCGUAGCUAA
rnacentral:rRNA from 1 species